AGCGAACGCUGGCGGCAGGCCUAACACAUGCAAGUCGAGAGCCGUAGCAAUACGGAGCGGCAGACGGGAGAGUAACACGUGGGAACGUACCCUUUGGUUCGGAACAACCCAGGGAAACUUGGGCUAAUACCGGAUAAGCCCUUACGGGGAAAGGUUUAUCGCCGAAGGAUCGGCCCGCGUCUGAUUAGCUAGUUGGUGGGGUAACGGCUCACCAAGGCGACGAUCAGUAGCUGGUCUGAGAGGAUGAGCAGCCUCACUGGGACUGAGACACGGCCCAGACUCCUACGGGAGUCAGCAGUGGGGAAUAUUGGACAAUGGGCGCAAGCCUGAUCCAGCCAUGCCGCGUGGGUGAUGAAGGCCCUAGGGUUGUAAAGCCCUUUCGGCGGUGAAGAUAAUGACGGUACCCGCAGAAGAAGCCCCGGCUAACUUCGUGCCAGCCGCCGCAGUAACAC
rnacentral:rRNA from 1 species